GAAAGAACGGAACAGCAGCAGGAGAGCAGAGAAAAGCGGGAGGAAGCAGAGAAGUGGGCGGUGAGUGAAUGAGGGCGCAGCGGCCUUUACCGACUCUGUUGAUCUCCAGACCUCUCGAUAUAUCGACCGCACGAGGCUGAGCAGGCUCUGAUUGUCUGGCGUCAUUCGGUAUCAGCAAAGAGGGAUCAGCUGACCAACCACCCUGCCUGUAUGGCCAGAUUUAACCUGGGGCACCUCUGUACUGUGUCAUCAUGACCUCUGCUACUCAGCAGUCUCAAGAAGAAGAGGAGGGAGGUGAAGCACGAGGGAGCAGAAGCAACAUCGACACAGGAGGCGACACAGGUCGGGGGGAGGGGAGCACCCCCACGGAUGAAGCAGUCGGAACUGAGGGGGCGCGAGGGAGGAGAGGGCGGAGCUGUGAAGAGGCACGGAAGGGGUGAAAGGAGAGGUAAAGUGGAGUAAGUGGGGGUUCUUCUCCUCUCCUCCUCUCUCGUUAUCUCCAUUAACACCUGCUGGGCUAACGAGGCCGCCUCUUGGUUGCCAUGGCAACAGCUUGUCACUUCACACCAACCCAAACUAACCUCACAUACAUCCAUACGCACAACAA